rnacentral:lncRNA from 1 species
UUUCCUGUUAAUUUAUUUCCAAAUUUAAUCUCCAUUCAAAUAUGAUGUUUUAUGAAAUAUAAUGUCCUUUUGUCACAUUGUGCACUAAGAGUAUUACUUUUCUAUUUUGUGUGGGGAAGGCUGUAAUAUCUGUUCAGCUCUAUCAAGAACAAAUGUACAGAGCGUCCCACCUAUUGAGACACUGCCUUAUUUCAGGAAUUGCUGUAAUCUGAGUAUGGACUAUCUUGAGAGUGAUAAUCCCUUAAGAGCUUCAGUAUUAGAGGGGCCUGCCACAUUCACGGCCUUUAUCUACAGUUAUCUCACCAGAUACUCACAGUGAAGAUGCCCUUGUAGCUCUGGCUGGGGCGGAGGAAGAGCAAUCCUUGUGAAUUACCUCCAGAGUAUGCUCUGUAAAACAGGUUUAUUUUUCCAGGAGAAAAGACACUAACAGCGUCUUCUAAUGUCCAUGAGGUAAAAGAACUGAUGGCUGGAGAGCAUUGAAACAGACAGAUGAAAAUUAAAGAAGAAAUAAAAAUAAAAUUAAAAAGGGAAAAACAAG